AGUUCUGUAGACAGAUAUUGAAAAGGCAUCUGGAAAAAUUGAUAGCAUAUCAAGGCAAAGAUUUCAUAAAAGUCAUUUUUUUUCAAUGUCCAGCCAUAGGUACCAGCGUGCACUCCUCACAGACACGCAUUCAAGGUCCCCAAAGGCCUUUUCUCUGAUCUUAGAGCGCCCCCUUUGGAAACGACGCUCUUACUGCAACCGGCCAGGCAGGCUUCUUUCCGCGCGUUUGAGCUCUGGGAUACGCACGCACGGGGAGAAGGGAAGGGAUGGUGGACCUGAGUGUGAGACAGACUUCUCUACGUCCCAUCCAAGUGAGAGCCUGUUCAAACUAGGCUUGUAUGUAGUUUGAUCUCUUUAGACCUCAGUGUGCUCAUAGAAAGCGGCCGGGCUGACGCAAUGCCUUGUGAUGAAGGCAGCAACCCCCGACCGACCCCCACCACCACCACCACCACCACCACAGAUCUAGUAAAGCUGAUUUGUAUGGAGAUUUAUAUGGAAAUGCAGCCACCUUUCCUCUAAAUCCAAAGCCGUGCACUUGGUGAUAAACAGCGCUAAUGUGAUGUUAACUCUAUUUAUAUGACUGUCUGUCCCAGGAGAUGAGAUUUACAUAUACACUAAGUGUAUCUCACCAGUACCUAAGAGUAAUGUUUUAUUUUACUGCCUCUGGAUACCUGGUAGCAACUCAGGCCAUUAAAGAAGCAUCACACACACACACAUAUUCACCUGGAAACACAGUAGCAGCAGGAGAUAGAUGGGGACGAUCCUGGCAGGAAGGUCCCACUUUACAGGUAUAAGUGGCAAACAACCUUCUGUUCCAACUGUCUGUACGGUUCUUAGAGAUGCUAAAAGGGACCUUUCAGGGUCAUCCUAUCCCUUUACGCCUCAGAGUUAUUCAGAUGAAAGUAGAGUUUAGAGCCCAAAUUAUUUGAAUCAUUGUCUAAAUCCUCUCUUUUGGUUUGGCCAGAAUGAGAUCCUUUGUAGGUUUGAAUCUGAAAACAUGCUAGUCAGUGAGCCCCAUGCCUUAGCCCAAGUGAAUCCUAAAGUACAUCAAUCACCCUUCCUUGGCUCAUGUUCCAGGACCUGUGCUGAGAAUCUUAAAUAAAUUAUCCCAUUGAUUUCUCA
rnacentral:lncRNA from 1 species